CACCCAGAGCCACGCUGGGAGCCCUCAGGCACGGCCGGCCCCGCUGGGAGCCCUCGGCCCUCUCACAGCCGUGGCCGGCCCCACGGGAGAAGCCGCUAACACGAGAGGGUUCUUGCCCAUGGAAGUGGCCACUCUGAGUGACCGAUGUACCUCUCUGAGGCCAUUUUUCCCUUCCUCUUGGCCAUGUCUGGAGCUGAGCGGGUGGGCAGGGUUGGCCCCACUGCUGCUGUGCCCACCACACCUGCUGGGAAGGUGUUUUGCUGCUUGAAUCACACCCACCUCCUGCAGCCACCACAGCCCGAGAGCUGCCACUUUGAUGGUGUUUUGGGGAGGACACGAAUUUGGCUCAGUUCCUCUCCACUAUCAACACACCUCGGUGCUCUAAGGCUGCGUUCAAACAAUGCUGAACCACAGCUGCAAAGCUUCUGCCACUUCAGCCAGUCCAGCUGCCCAGGAAGCAGAGAGGCCAUGAGUACUCAAGUCAACAGAAUGAUUCCUGAGGAGCCCUCAAGGAAACAGAGCAGGCUGGAGCAAACCCUGUGCCCUUGGAGAAAAUUGUUUCCCCUUUUCCUCCAGGGAAUCCAGAGCCUGAGCAGCAGCUGUGAAGAGUGGAGAGAAAGAAAGAAGUGGGAGAUGCUGGAAGUGCUUUGGGCGACGUGAGAAGGAGGAUUUGCCCGGAAGGAGCUGUUCAAGGGCCCAGCAGCAAACCAGAGACACAAAACCUGCUUAUAUAUAGAAGAAUGUAACCCCUGUGUAUGCAGACGUGGACGCGUGCAUGCCUUGUCGAGAGCGUAAGCGACAUUCCCUGUAGAUCGCUGCUGUGAGCAGCCCUGCUCCUGCAGGCCGAGCCUUGGCACUGCUGCUGGCCCUGCUGGACACCACCCACUGCCCUGCUGGCCCAUUUAUGCAGCAGGAUGAGGAGGAAUCUCUACACCCAGAUUAGUAAUCCUGAGAAUUCCAAACGUGCUGCGGCGCGGGCACGGCCCAGGCGUGGCGGGGAGCGGGUGCGGAGCAGCUCGGACAGCAGUUUGUGUGUGUAAAUAUUCAUGCUCUGGCACCAGGGGAGAGCAGCUUUCCUAUGACUUUAGUUUCUCUGGUGCUACAUUUAAUAUUUGUCUGGGGCUAAACUGCCUCUCUGUGGUGCUACGGUUUCCCCAAGAGGAUGUUCUGAAACGUGGGACAAGGAAAGAUCUAUUUUGGUUAUUGAUAUUUAUACACAAGAUAGCAAAAAAUAAGACUUGUUGAGAAGGUGCUAUUUUUUUUCUUUCUUUCAAUCUCUGCAGAAACUAAGACAAAACAAAUAAUCUACCCCAGAACUUUAUAAAACUCCUUUUCUUUGGAGGAGUUCUUUUUCUUUUGACAGGGUGGAGCUUGGGAAGCAGCAGGCACUGAGGUGGAAAGGACACAGGGCCCUUUCCACUGCAGUGUGCACAUCAGAGUCUGCUAGAGCAGCACUUUCUGCAGCUCCAGAGCUGGGAAUUCUUCUGCAUGGUGAUUUAUUCAGUCCCACAUCCCAUGAACCAGGGAGGAGAACUCUUACCCAGACUGAUCACUAGAGCAGGGGAUAACAGGAGAACUUGGCCUUAGAAGUCAAAGGGCUUUUUUCAGUCUCGUACUGAGCACUUUUUUCCUUGCAGCCAAAACUACCUGUCAGAUUUCGGGUACCUUCCACAUACAGCAACCUGUGCACAGUUUUUUAGAAACAUUUUUCCUACCUUCAGAUAUUUGCACCAGAAAAUUGACCCUGCCAUGGCAGGGAGGGCAUUUUCAAAGGCAUAAAGGAAUGUCAGAACCCGAUUUCUGAAGGAAAUUUGGCUCCUUGUCUUUUAAAAAUACUUCCCACCCCUCGCCCAGCCCAGGAGGAAGCCGAGUGGCCUCUGUGUCCAGUCAGACCCUGCAUUUUCGACUGCUGCAGGAGAAAUGUUUCUAAGCAGUCUGAAAGCUAAAUUCUCCCUUUAUCAAAUAUUCACCGCAGUGUUUUGAGCCCCUGCACACAUUUUCCUGGCUGAUAUUGAUCCAAGUCCAUUCCCGAACAGCAGCAAGGGCUCUGCUGGAAGAGCAGAUUGUUCCUAGUGAAGAACCUUGCCCUGCCUUAGGUGAUGUGCAGUGUUGGGAGGGGUGGUGUAGCUCCAUGUAGUUUGUCUGUCCAUACCCCUUGGGUGGUUUCAGAGCCACAGGGGCCAGUGAAACAUUUUCCUGCCAUUUUUGGCCUGAUGCUCAGUAAUCCUCAGCAUCAUGAACCCCUUCCCAGCUCAGUCUCCUACAGAAACAAGGACAAAUUCUUCUAACAAAAGGAGGAGCCUCAGCUGAUUCCAGCAGGGCUGCCAGCGCUGGGCAGAGCCUUAAAAAUACCAAUUUCUGGAAUCCCCUGGAAUGUGGGAGUGAAGUUGUGCCUGUGGAAUUGCACAAGUCCCACUUGAAGAGGAACCAUGGAUGUGACACUUGGCUGUAGGGGACAGCCCCUGCAGCUCUGCCCUGCACAUCCUCCCCAGCCCUGGGACAGGCCCAGGGCUGAGUCACGUCCCUCAGAGGCUCUCCACAAAUUCCUCACCUUUAUCAGCUCUGAAUGUAAUAAACUUCUCACCUGGAAUAGGCAUUAUUCCAUUUGCCCUGUGCACACAGCUGGCACUGCCUUUGGCUCUCCUGCUGUCCUGGCUGUUGAGGGCUGCAGCCUUCAGGCUGCUCCCAGUCUUUCAAUUCCCUUGGAACAGCACAGCCAAGGAAAAGGAAAGGAGGUUCUGUCCUCCCCACCUUGGGAGAGCCCCCAAAUCUGUGAUCAGCCCCAGUGCAGGGAUUGGCUGAUCUCCCUCAGUCCCAACCCUCCGUGGACAGGCUUGUCUGUGAAAAUUCCCAAACCUCAGAGCUCCCAGGGGAUUGUUCUCCUCAGGGCCUCCAAACAGUCAGCAAAAAAUUUUAAAAGACUUGUCCUGCCCAGCGUGGAACAGCCACAUCGAUGGUGCUUCCUGAGUGGAAACCAGAGCAGGUCUGGUACCCAAAUCCUGCCUUGUUCCUGGUUUGCUUCACUUCUGUAGUUCCAAACUGGAUGUUUCGCAUGAAGCGAGGGUGAGGUUUUGGAGUUUUGUAGCCAGAAUUCCCUGUACAGAACUGGAAUUCCUUAUUGAGGGUACAGAUUUGUCAAAGCCUUACAUUUUGUGGUGUAAUUGCUAUCCUUGAACGCCUCCAUUUUUUUUGACAAGGAGUGUUUUUAUCCUUUCUACAAGAUCUGCUUUUCCCCUGGUUGGUGUUUGCACGGGAAGGGUGCUGUGAACUCCCUGGAAAUCCCCAGUCCCCUCCUGUGGGCAGGAAACCGGCACAGUUCCCCUCUGGCCCUUUUGUUUUCUCACAGCAGGAGCAAUCCCUGGGUUGGGUCAGCUGGGAGGGCCAGGGAGGGCUCUCCCGACGGAGAAACGGAGCCCUCUCGGGUUUCAGAGCUCGGUUAUGAGCUCACAGUCUGCGCAGGGCACGGCUGGGAGGGAACUCUUCAUGAAUUUUUAAAGCAGUUCCCUGCCAAGACAGCUCCCAGCACAACCUGGAAUUCCAUGUUCCAAGGUAUAAGAGUAGCCUGGUGUGGGCUGCUGCUCAGCUCCUCUGCCACCUGCUCACACUGCUCCUUUGGCCAUGAACUCCGGGCUGCACCAGCAAUGGUGGGUUACCCCAGGGCAGGGCUGGGCCCAGGAGUUUCACAUUCCUUCCUCUUCUCCAGCAGAAUUCUCAGCAGGUAAAAAGGCAUGGGAUGGGACCAGGCCUCCUGUCCCACAGCUUGGUGUGCCCGGGAGGGGCAGCAGCCAGGCAAACUCCAGCAAAGCACCCCAAGCAGGGAGCUGUCAGCGCGGAGGGGGGAAUCCAUUCCAUCCCCCCUGCUUCACAGCAGAGAGGCAGGAAUUCCUCUUUGAGCCAAGCCAAUUGCUAAUGCAAUUCCCUUAAAUCCACCUUAAACACUUCUUGAACCAGUUUCAUCUGA